rnacentral:rRNA from 1 species
UGCGUUGUUGGGUAGGGGAGCGUUCUGUAAGCCUGCGAAGGUGGCCUGUGAGGGUUGCUGGAGGUAUCAGAAGUGCGAAUGCUGACAUAAGUAACGAUAAAGCGGGUGAAAAGCCCGCUCGCCGGAAGACCAAGGGUUCCUGUCCAACGUUAAUCGGGGCAGGGUGAGUCGACCCCUAAGGCGAGGCCGAAAGGCGUAGUCGAUGGGAAACGGGUUAAUAUUCCCGUACUUGGUGUUACUGCGAAGGGGGGACGGAGAAGGCUAUGUUGGCCGGGCGACGGUUGUCCCGGUUUAAGCGUGUAGGUGUGUGUUCCAGGUAAAUCCGGUUCACUUUAACACUGAGGCGUGACGACGAGGCACUACGGUGCUGAAGCAACAAAUGCCCUGCUUCCAGGAAAAGCCUCUAAGCAUCAGGUAACAUCAAAUCGUACCCCAAACCGACACAGGUGGUCAGGUAGAGAAUACCAAGGCGCUUGAGAGAACUCGGGUGAAGGAACUAGGCAAAAUGGUGCCGUAACUUCGGGAGAAGGCACGCUGACACGUAGGUGAAGUGAUUUACUCAUGGAGCUGAAGUCAGUCGAAGAUACCAGCUGGCUGCAACUGUUUAUUAAAAACACAGCACUGUGCAAACACGAAAGUGGACGUAUACGGUGUGACGCCUGCCCGGUGCCGGAAGGUUAAUUGAUGGGGUCAGCGCAAGCGAAGCUCCUGAUCGAAGCCCCGGUAAACGGCGGCCGUAACUAUAACGGUCCUAAGGUAGCGAAAUUCCUUGUCGGGUAAGUUCCGACCUGCACGAAUGGCGUAAUGAUGGCCAGGCUGUCUCCACCCGAGACUCAGUGAAAUUGAACUCGCUGUGAAGAUGCAGUGUACCCGCGGCAAGACGGAAAGACCCCGUGAACCUUUACUAUAGCUUGACACUGAACAUUGAGCCUUGAUGUGUAGGAUAGGUGGGAGGCUUUGAAGUGUGGACGCCAGUCUGCAUGGAGCCGACCUUGAAAUACCACCCUUUAAUGUUUGAUGUUCUAACGUGGACCCGUGAUCCGGGUUGCGGACAGUGUCUGGUGGGUAGUUUGACUGGGGCGGUCUCCUCCUAAAGAGUAACGGAGGAGCACGAAGGUUGGCUAAUCCUGGUCGGACAUCAGGAGGUUAGUGCAAUGGCAUAAGCCAGCUUGACUGCGAGCGUGACGGCGCGAGCAGGUGCGAAAGCAGGUCAUAGUGAUCCGGUGGUUCUGAAUGGAAGGGCCAUCGCUCAACGGAUAAAAGGUACUCCGGGGAUAACAGGCUGAUACCGCCCAAGAGUUCAUAUCGACGGCGGUGUUUGGCACCUCGAUGUCGGCUCAUCACAUCCUGGGGCUGAAGUAGGUCCCAAGGGUAUGGCUGUUCGCCAUUUAAAGUGGUACGCGAGCUGGGUUUAGAACGUCGUGAGACAGUUCGGUCCCUAUCUGCCGUGGGCGCUGGAGAACUGAGGGGGGCUGCUCCUAGUACGAGAGGACCGGAGUGGACGCAUCACUGGUGUUCGGGUUGUCAUGCCAAUGGCACUGCCCGGUAGCUAAAUGCGGAAGAGAUAAGUGCUGAAAGCAUCUAAGCACGAAACUUGCCCCGAGAUGAGUUCUCCCUGAGACUUAGAGUCUCCUGAAGGAACGUUGAAGACGACGACGUUGAUAGGCCGGGUGUGUAAGCGCAGCGAUGCGUUGAGCUAACCGGUACUAAUGAACCGUGAGGCUUAACCUUACAACGCCGAAG